rnacentral:rRNA from 1 species
AGUGAACGCUGGCGGCAGGCCUAACACAUGCAAGUCGAGCGGCAGCGCGGGGGCAACCCUGGCGGCGAGCGGCGGACGGGUGAGGAAUUCGUCGGAAUCUGCCUUUUUGUGGGGGAUAACGUGGGGAAACUUACGCUAAUACCGCAUACGUCCUACGGGAGAAAGUGGGGACCGCAAGGCCUCACGCAGAAAGAUGAGCCGACGACCGAUUAGCUAGUUGGUGGGGUAAAGGCCCACCAAGGCGACGAUCGGUAGCUGGUCUGAGAGGAUGAUCAGCCACACUGGGACUGAGACACGGCCCAGACUCCUACGGGAGGCAGCAGUGGGGAAUAUUGGACAAUGGGCGCAAGCCUGAUCCAGCCAUGCCGCGUGUGUGAAGAAGGCCUUCGGGUUGUAAAGCACUUUUGUCCGGAAAGAAAUCCCUGGAGCUAAUACCUUCGGGGGAUGACGGUACCGGAAGAAUAAGCACCGGCUAACUUCGUG